GAUGAAGAACGUAGCGAAAUGCGAUAAGUAAUGUGAAUUGCAGAAUUCAGUGAAUCAUCGAAUCUUUGAACGCACCUUGCACCCUUUGGCAUUCCGAAGGGUAUGCUCGUUUGAGUGUCAUUGUACUCUCACACUUCCAAUCUUUGGAUUGGGAGCGGUGGACUUGGGUGUUGCUGCUUACUGUGGCUCACCUCAAAUCGAUUCGUGCACCUCUUGGUUGGACAUAGUACGGCGUGAUAAGUGUCUUCGCCGGCACCUCAGUAGAGGGUGGCUGAUCAGGAGCUCUGUGCUUCAAACCGUCCUCGGACAACAACUGACAACUUGACCUCAAAUCGAGUAGGACUACCCGCUGAACUUAAGCAUAUCAAUAAGCGGAGAA
rnacentral:misc_RNA from 1 species